rnacentral:rRNA from 1 species
UUCCCGCAACGAGCGCAAACCCUUGCCAUUAGUUGCUACAUUCAGUUGAGCACUCUAAUGGGACUGCCGGUGACAAACCGGAGGAAGGUGGGGAUGACGUCAAGUCCUCAUGGCCCUUAUGGGUAGGGCUACACACGUCAUACAAUGGCGCGUACAGAGGGUUGCCAACCCGCGAGGGGGAGCCAAUCCCAGAAAGCGCGUCGUAGUCCGGAUUGAAGUCUGCAACUCGACUUCAUGAAGUCGGAAUCGCUAGUAAUCGCGGAUCAGCAUGUCGCGGUGAAUACGUUCCCGGGCCUUGUACACACCGCCCGUCACACCAUGGGAGUGGGUUUCACCAGAAGCAGGUUGCCUAACCGCAAGGAGGGCGCCUACCACGGUGAGAUUCAUGACUGGGGUGAAGUCGUAACAAGGUAACCGUAA